GAUGAACGCUGGCGGCGUGCCUAAUACAUGCAAGUCGAGCGAACAGAUGAGGAGCUUGCUCCUCUGACGUUAGCGGCGGACGGGUGAGUAACACGUGGAUAACCUACCUAUAAGACUGGGAUAACUUCGGGAAACCGGAGCUAAUACCGGAUAAUAUAUUGAACCGCAUGGUUCAAUAGUGAAAGACGGUUUUGCUGUCACUUAUAGAUGGAUCCGCGCCGCAUUAGCUAGUUGGUAAGGUAACGGCUUACCAAGGCAACGAUGCGUAGCCGACCUGAGAGGGUGAUCGGCCACACUGGAACUGAGACACGGUCCAGACUCCUACGGGAGGCAGCAGUAGGGAAUCUUCCGCAAUGGGCGAAAGCCUGACGGAGCAACGCCGCGUGAGUGAUGAAGGUCUUCGGAUCGUAAACUCUGUUAUUAGGGAAGAACAAAUGUGUAAGUAACUAUGCACGUCUUGACGGUACCUAAUCAGAAAGCCACGGCUAACUACGUG
rnacentral:rRNA from 1 species